AUUGAACGCUGGCGGCGUGCCUAAUACAUGCAAGUCGAACGCAGUGGGGACGGGUGAGUAACACGUGGGUAACCUCCCAUCAGAGGGGAUAACACUUGGAAACAGGUGCUAAACCGAUACUGAUGGAUGGACCCGCGGUGCAUUAGCUAGUUGGUGAGGUAACGGCGCACCAAGGCCACGAUGCUUAGCCAGCCUGAGAGGGUGAUCGGCCACACUGGUACUGAGACACGGCCCGUACUCCUACGGGAGGCAGCGGUAGGGAAUCUUCGGCAAUGGACGAAAUUCUGCCCGAGCAACGCCGCGUGAGGGAAGAAGGUUGUCGGAUCGUAAAACUCUGUUGUUAUAGAAGCGGUAUCUAACCAGAAAGCCACGGCUAACUACGUGCCAGCAGCCGCGGUAAUUC
rnacentral:rRNA from 1 species